AUUGAACGCUGGCGGCAGGCCUAACACACGCAAGUCGAGCGGUAGCACAGAGAGCUUGCUCUCGGGUGACGAGUGGCGGACGGGUGAGUAAUGUCUGGGAAACUGCCCGAUGGAGGGGGAUAACUACUGGAAACGGUAGCUAAUACCGCGUAACGUCGCAAGACCAAAGUGGGGGACCUUCGGGCCUCACACCAUCGGAUGUGCCCAGAUGGGAUUAGCUAGUAGGUGGGGUAAUGGCUCACCUAGGCGACGAUCCCUAGCUGGUCUGAGAGGAGGACCAGCCACACUGGAACUGAGACACGGUCCAGACUCCUACGGGAGGCAGCAGUGGGGAAUAUUGCACAAUGGGCGCAAGCCUGAUGCAGCCAUGCCGCGUGUAUGAAGAAGGCCUUCGGGUUGUAAAGUACUUUCAGCGGGGAGGAAGGCGGUGAAGUUAAUAGCUUCACCGAUUGACGUUACCCGCAGAAGAAGCACCGGCUAACUCCGUGCCAGCCGCCGCCGUAA
rnacentral:rRNA from 1 species